AUCCAGCUGACCAGUCCCAAAUAGGACGAAACAUGCGUCAAACUGGAU
rnacentral:hammerhead_ribozyme from 1 species